GGAUGAACGCUAGCUACAGGCUUAACACAUGCUAGUUGAGGGGCAGCAUGGUCUUAGCUUGCUAAGGCCGAUGGCGACCGGCGCACGGGUGAGUAACACGUAUCCAACCUGCCGUCUACUCUUGGACAGCCUUCUGAAAGGAAGAUUAAUACAAGAUGGCAUCAUGAGUCCGCAUGUUCACAUGAUUAAAGGUAUUCCGGUAGACGAUGGGGAUGCGUUCCAUUAGAUAGUAGGCGGGGUAACGGCCCACCUAGUCUUCGAUGGAUAGGGGUUCUGAGAGGAAGGUCCCCCACAUUGGAACUGAGACACGGUCCAAACUCCUACGGGAGGCAGCAGUGAGGAAUAUUGGUCAAUGGGCGAGAGCCUGAACCAGCCAAGUAGCGUGAAGGAUGACUGCCCUAUGGGUUGUAAACUUCUUUUAUAAAGGAAUAAAGUCGGGUAUGCAUACCCGUUUGCAUGUACUUUAUGAAUAAGGAUCGGCUAACUCCGUGCCAGCAGCCGCGGUAAUACGGAGGAUCCGAGCGUUAUCCGGAUUUAUUGGGUUUAAAGGGAGCGUAGAUGGAUGUUUAAGUCAGUUGUGAAAGUUUGCGGCUCAACCGUAAAAUUGCAGUUGAUACUGGAUAUCUUGAGUGCAGUUGAGGCAGGCGGAAUUCGUGGUGUAGCGGUGAAAUGCUUAGAUAUCACGAAGAACUCCGAUUGCGAAGGCAGCCUGCUAAGCUGCAACUGACAUUGAGGCUCGAAAGUGUGGGUAUCAAACAGGAUUAGAUACCCUGGUAGUCCACACGGUAAACGAUGAAUACUCGCUGUUUGCGAUAUACGGCAAGCGGCCAAGCGAAAGCGUUAAGUAUUCCACCUGGGGAGUACGCCGGCAACGGUGAAACUCAAAGGAAUUGACGGGGGCCCGCACAAGCGGAGGAACAUGUGGUUUAAUUCGAUGAUACGCGAGGAACCUUACCCGGGCUUAAAUUGCAGAUGAAUUACGGUGAAAGCCGUAAGCCGCAAGGCAUCUGUGAAGGUGCUGCAUGGUUGUCGUCAGCUCGUGCCGUGAGGUGUCGGCUUAAGUGCCAUAACGAGCGCAACCCUUGUUGUCAGUUACUAACAGGUCAUGCUGAGGACUCUGACAAGACUGCCAUCGUAAGAUGUGAGGAAGGUGGGGAUGACGUCAAAUCAGCACGGCCCUUACGUCCGGGGCUACACACGUGUUACAAUGGGGGGUACAGAGGGCCGCUACCACGCGAGUGGAUGCCAAUCCCAAAAACCUCUCUCAGUUCGGACUGGAGUCUGCAACCCGACUCCACGAAGCUGGAUUCGCUAGUAAUCGCGCAUCAGCCACGGCGCGGUGAAUACGUUCCCGGGCCUUGUACACACCGCCCGUCAAGCCAUGGGAGCCGGGGGUACCUGAAGUGCGUAACCGCGAGGAGCGCCCUAGGGUA
rnacentral:rRNA from 1 species